GGAGGAAGUUUUUCACUCAGGGGGUGGUGACACACUGGAACAGGUUGCCCAAGGUUGUGGGUGCCCCAUCCCUGGAGACAUUCAAGGCCAGGCUAGAUGUGGCUCUGGGCAGCCUGGCCUACUGGUUAGCGACCCUGCACAUAGCAGGGGGAUUGAAACUAGAUGACCAUUGUGGUCCUUUUCAACCCAGGCCUUUGUAUGAUUCUAUGAUUCUAUGACUUUCAUCCCUCAUCUCUUUGAACUCUGCUUUUCCAGGUUACCAAACAUUACAAGGAAGUGUUCUUCUAAAGUGGAGAUUCUUACUUAAGAGGACUAAACUCCCCUCAUGAUCAUAAACACGUCCUAUAGAUUUUAUUUAUUUUUCCCAGAUGGCUAACAGUGAGUAUAGCAUGUACAGAACCCUGGUUAAGGAGAGAAGUUAUCUUGGUGGGAGAAAGGAAGAAGGAUCUGUAGGAUCAGCCCCUAAAAAACAUACUGAAGUUGUUUACAUGAUCACAGUGAUAAGUGAAGUCAAAUGCUGUAGCAACUAAGGAAAAGUAUCUUAAUUCACAUUGUAGGAAUUUUGUUUCGUAUGUGGAAGAAAGACACUUGUUUAAAGGAAAGGCCAUUCUAAAAGGUGAAGAAACUACAUAACCACUCUCUGAGAAUGGGCCAGGAUUCUUCAGCUUCUUUAUGUUUAUCUGAAACUACAAGUAGGCUUCCAGAUGAUAUUUUGUGUUAAGGAUCACACUGGAAAUAGUAGAAUGAGAGUCAAAUCUGUAUCAAGAGGACUGUACAGGAAUAGAGAAAUGUGGUACCCAGGAUCAUGGUAACACAAUGUACUGUUGAUGUGGGAAAUACUCCAGACACAGAUUUUCUGACUCUUCCGGGGAAAAAAAAUCUUCCUUAAAUGUAAUGUCCUAGUGAAAGGAAGUUUGUGGCAGAGGAAGAAAAACUAAAGACCAAAAUCUUGAUCUGGAAAUAAAGUACAUUUUCUGUCUGCCAUGAAGGUAGACAAGGUAGUGCAACCUCACUGCCUAUUGAAGGCACCGUAGAAAAUAUGGUAAAAGAUACAAGUUUACAUGUCCUGCUGGUAGGUGAUGGAAAUUUCUCUUGAUCAGAUUAAUUUCUAGGAUGAAAAUUCUAUGGAAUUAAACUUGUUCCACAUAAUAAACAAUCUUUUGGUGGGACAGGAAAAGUUUGCUGGUGCAUAACCAAUCACGUCCCAGGAACUGAUUUUUUUCUGUGUUCAGUAGUCACAAAUUACUAGAGAAUCUGGGAAAGAAA
rnacentral:lncRNA from 7 species